rnacentral:rRNA from 1 species
CAAUAGCGUAUAUUAAAGUUGUUGCAGUUAAAAAGCUCGUAGUUGAAUGUUGGUGUCGAACGAGCGGUCAGCUUCGGCUGUACUGCUCUCUCGACUCCUUCCUUCUGUGGACUACGUCGCACUUUACUGUGUGGCGCUAGGACGCAGAUCGUUUACUGUGAAAAAAUUAGAGUGUUCAAAGCAGGCCGUACGCUUGAAUACAUUAGCAUGGAAUAAUGGAAUAGGACGUCGGGCCUAUUUUGUUGGUUCUAGGACCGUCGUAAUGAUUAAUAGGGACAGUUGGGGCCGUUUAUAUUCCGUAGUCAGAGGUGAAAUUCUUGGAUUUACGGAAGAUAAACUACUGCGAAAGCAUUCGGCAAGGAUGUUUNCGUUAA